rnacentral:rRNA from 1 species
UACGAAGGGGGCUAGCGUUGCUCGGAAUUACUGGGCGUAAAGCGCACGUAGGCGGACUUUUAAGUCAGGGGUGAAAUCCCGGGGCUCAACCCCGGAACUGCCUUUGAUACUGGAAGUCUUGAGUUCGAGAGAGGUGAGUGGAAUUGCGAGUGUAGAGGUGAAAUUCGUAGAUAUUCGCAGGAACACCAGUGGCGAAGGCGGCUCACUGGCUCGAUACUGACGCUGAGGUGCGAAAGCGUGGGGAGCAAACAGG